rnacentral:rRNA from 1 species
CAGCCGCCGCGGUAAUACAGAGGGUGCGAGCGUUAAUCGGAUUUACUGGGCGUAAAGCGUGCGUAGGCGGCUUCUUAAGUCGGAUGUGAAAUCCCUGAGCUUAACUUAGGAAUUGCAUUCGAUACUGGGAAGCUAGAGUAUGGGAGAGGAUGGUAGAAUUCCAGGUGUAGCGGUGAAAUGCGUAGAGAUCUGGAGGAAUACCGAUGGCGAAGGCAGCCAUCUGGCCUAAUACUGACGCUGAGGUACGAAAGCAUGGGGAGCAAACAGGAUUAGAUACCCAAGUAGUCCCUGUCUCUUAUAA